CGGCGCACGGGCGCACGGCACAGGCACAGGCACGGCGACCGUUCCUCAGAGCACACCCAAACACAAGAACAGUAUUUUGUGAUCGUAGAGGGGUUAGAGUUUGGAAAGGAGCAUUCCCCCAUCGAAACGCAGUGCCCCCCGCCACGCCCCGUUGGCCACGCGCUCGCUCGGCUUCGGACCGCUUCGGGUGUGCCUCGGGUGCGUUCGGGGCGGAGUUCGGGUCACCUCCGCAGCCAGCGUCGAGCGUCGCGACGCUCGGCUCCGGUCGGCUCGCCUCGGCGGUCAGCGCCCUUUGAAUGGAUGCAUUCGCAUCCAUCGUAUCCAUUCAACUGAGGGGAGGGGGUUCCAGUGCCAGAACUCCAUUCCCAUGAGACGGCCGAUGAUGGCAGGGCGCAGCGCAGGGGUGAGGAUGAAAGGUAGCUAGUAGAUCGGAUGCGCUAGUGCCCAGGGUGGUGAAAGUCCAAGAUCAGGACACUGCCCCUGAUCCAUGGCACUACAAUGGGGGUUGCAUGCGCGACGCCAAUUCAGAGACCGUGCCUGAAAAGUCAAUCAUGUUAAAAAUGGUGGUGAGCUUAUUUAUUUUUUGGAAGAAAGACAACAUUAAUAAAUGGUUCCAUACUU